AGAAGUUUGAGUUAAGCAGUUGGAAACAGCGAAGAGAGAGAGGACUGGAAUCCCGUGUCUGUCUAUAUGGCAGCGAGCAAUAGAUCAGAUGUCAAGAACACAGUGUCAAUGGGAUGUCAAGAACACAACCUUAUUUGGAUGACAUUGUAACUGGUGAAAAGGAUGAAGAACGUCUGCAAAAUUCGAAGGGAAAUGGCUACAAUUCAGAAACAGCAAGGCAAGAUUCUGAACUCUACAUUAGAGCACUUCAGAUCUGACCUGGAGAGAUGCUCUUGAAUGAGAAGUUAGUCCCUUCCCUGUGGUGCUGCAAGCCUCCAUGAAGAUUGCAUUUAGGGUUCAACUGGGGCUGUCACUCAAUUGUGUGUCUCCCACUUAGGCUGAGGCCAACAACUCUUUUCACUCAGUGACCU